UAUGGAAAGAACCAUGUCUGAGGCACCAAACAGCCCAAAGAAAGCCACUGAAUGUAGUAUCGCAGAGGACAACAAGAAGAAUCUUCAGUUCAUUGAAGAGGUCACAACCAACGUUGGCAAUGUCCAAAGGAGAGUUCUUGCUGAAAUCCUGUCGAGGAAUGCCAAUGUUGAGUACUUACAACGCCAUAAUCUCAAUGGUCACACUGAUAGAGAGACAUUCAAAAAAGUCAUACCUGCCAUCACCUACGAAGAUAUUCAGCAAGAUAUCAACCGUAUAGCACAUGGUGAUAAAUCUCCAAUCUUCUGCUCCCAGCCCAUCUCUGAAUUCUUGACAAGGUUCGUCCUUCUUUUCUUCUUCUGAUAGAAAAACGUGCAUCGCCAUCUCAAUAAUGUACUAUUAUAAAGUACACAAUUCACAUUCUCUGUAUCUCAAGCU
rnacentral:lncRNA from 1 species